rnacentral:rRNA from 1 species
CUACGGAGGGUGCGAGCGUUACUCGGAGUCACUGGGCGUAAAGCGUCCGUAGGCGGUCGGGUAAGUCGGGUGUGAAAGCCCCGGGCUCAACCUGGGAAGUGCACCCGAUACUGCUCGACUCGAGUGCGGGAGAGGAUGGCGGAAUUCCCGGUGUAGCGGUGAAAUGCGUAGAGAUCGGGAGGAACACCAGUGGCGAAGGCGGCCAUCUGGCCCGCAACUGACGCUGAGGGACGAAAGCGUGGGGAGCAAACAGGAUUAGAUACCCUAGUAGUCC